UACGUAGGGUGCAAGCGUUAAUCGGAAUUACUGGGCGUAAAGCGUGCGCAGGCGGUGAUGUAAGACGGUUGUGAAAUCCCCGGGCUCAACCUGGGAACUGCAUCUGUGACUGCAUCGCUGGAGUGCGGCAGAGGGGGAUGGAAUUCCGCGUGUAGCAGUGAAAUGCGUAGAUAUGCGGAGGAACACCGAUGGCGAAGGCAAUCCCCUGGGCCUGCACUGACGCUCAUGCACGAAAGCGUGGGGAGCAAACAGG
rnacentral:rRNA from 1 species